UUGAACGCUGGCGGCAUGCCUUACACACGCAAGUCGAACGGCAGCAUGAUCUAGCUUGCUAGAUUGAUGGCGAGUGGCGAACGGGUGAGUAAUACAUCGGAACGUGCCCUGUAGUGGGGGAUAACUAGUCGAAAGAUUAGCUAAUACCGCAUACGACCUGAGGGUGAAAGUGGGGGACCGCAAGGCCUCAUGCUAUAGGAGCGGCCGAUGUCUGAUUAGCUAGUUGGUGAGGUAAAGGCUCACCAAGGCGACGAUCAGUAGCUGGUCUGAGAGGACGAUCAGCCACACUGGGACUGAGACACGGCCCAGACUCCUACGGGAGGCAGCAGUGGGGAAUUUUGGACAAUGGGCGAAAGCCUGAUCCAGCAAUGCCGCGUGUGUGAAGAAGGCCUUCGGGUUGUAAAGCACUUUUGUCCGGAAAGAAAUGGCUCUGGUUAAUACCUGGGGUCGAUGACGGUACCGGAAGAAUAAGGACCGGCUAACUACGUG
rnacentral:rRNA from 1 species